UACGGAGGGUGCCAGCGUUCUCCGGCUUCCCUGGGUUUAAAGGGUGCGUAGGUGGGCAAGUAAGUCCGUGGUGAAAUCUCCGGGCUUAACCCGGAAACUGCCAUUGAUACUAUUUGUCUUGAAUACUGUGGAGGUCAGCGGAAUAUGUCAUGUAGCGGUGAAAUGCUUAGAUAUGACAUAGAACACCAAUUGCGAAGGCAGCUGGCUACACAAAUAUUGACACUGAGGCACGAAAGCGUGGGGAUCAAACAGG
rnacentral:rRNA from 1 species